rnacentral:antisense_RNA from 2 species
ACGGUUAUAAAUCAACACAUUGAUUUAUAAGCAUGGAAAUCCCCUGAGUGAAACAACGAAUUGCUGUGUGUAGUCUUUGCCCGUCU